UGGGGAAUAUUGGACAAUGGGCGAAAGCCUGAUCCAGCAAUACCGCGUGUGUGAAGAAGGCCUUAGGGUUGUAAAGCACUUUCAAUAGGGAGGAAAAAGAGUAAGCUAAUACCUUGCUUAUUGACAUUACCUAUACAAGAAGCACCGGCUAACUCCGUGCCAGCAGCCGCGGUAAUACGGAGGGUGCAAGCGUUAAUCGGAAUUACUGGGCGUAAAGAGUGCGUAGGCGGCACGUUAAGUCAGAUGUGAAAGCCCUGGGCUCAACCUGGGAACUGCAUUUGAAACUGGCGAGCUCGAGUUGAGUAGAGGUAAGUGGAAUUUCAGGUGUAGCGGUGAAAUGCGUAGAUAUCUGAAGGAACACCAGUGGCGAAGGCGACUUACUGGACUCAAACUGACGCUGAGGUACGAAAGCGUGGGUAGCAAACA
rnacentral:rRNA from 1 species